UUUAAAACCGCAAUAUAAGAACACUAAGCUAAUCUAGCGUGUUCCCUGGGCUGAAAAUCAAUAUCGCUUGUCAAGAAUUUAAUCGGGGAACGCUGGCGAAACAGUUUGAUAUCAAAGUAUCCGCUCCGGUUGUAGUACUGCUCAAAUUAUUCAUAAUUAUUAUACUUUCAUAACCAAUUUUAGGCUGAAAGUCUAGACAUAACUCAUUAGACUCAAAACACCUUGCUAACCGAUUCCGCUGUCUUGGACGGGAUCCGGGCGACCUUCCUUCACUGCGAGCUUCCGUUCUUUGUCCAUGUAGGCUCCUCUCACUAGCUUCACUCCUAAACAGAAACCUUCAUCCUUGGACUGAGCUAGAGCUUCCAGAAGAAGAGUCCGUGUUUCCUGAGAGUGGUGUGUUCAAUGUCUCACCUCGGCUAUGCGGUUGAGGCGCCGCAGGCUGCAGAGCAAGUGCGCUGCCUCGCUCUCCUCCAAACCGGGGAAGUUGACAGUCUGAAAGGUGGCCAAGAGGUCAAAGGUCAGGUGUUGGUGGACAAUGGAAACAGGGUGUAAUGUGGACGCACCUCUCCAUUCAUGGCUCGGACCAGGAGGUCCAGGUCGUAGGGUUGUUUGGAGAUGACGGUGCCCGCCUCUGGGCAAACCCACUCCGCUGUAAUUGGUUGCACUCACAAAGACUCCGGAGGACUUCCAGACUACUGCCGAACCCCACUUUCUAAUUUUGGUGUUGAUAAUAAAUGAAUAAACCCUUAUAUUGCUCUUAACCAUAUGCUCAUU